UCCAUUAGCGACCCCCAGAUUUUCUCCGGUGUAAGAAUCAAAUGUUGCUUCGUUCAAUUCUUUCAAGUUUGCUAAAAAAUGAAGGCUUCCCUAGUAUCUGGGUUUGUAGAAAUGGAGUAACCACUCUCGCAAGCACAGAAAACUCAUUUUCUCCAUCCAUUUCGGGAGGGGAAACGCUACAAAAAGGGAUCGUGUCGAGUUGAAGAGAGUUGCUGAUGAGGUGAAGUAGUUAGGGUUUGAUCCGUUGAAGUCGAACUUCAUAUUGGCAAUAUAUGCGCGAAAGGGGGAAGGAAGUGUAUGGGACAAAUGCAAUGGAGUUUAUAGUAAAUGGGGCUGGUCGGAGGAUGAUAUUCGAAUGGCAUUUAAGAAGCAUCCCUCUUGUAUGCUUUUAUCCGAGAAGAAGAUAUCAGCAACCAUGGAUUUUCUAGUUAACAAGUUAGGUCGGGAGUCAAGAGUGAUUGCAAAGUCUCCGCGAGUUCUUUUCUAUAGCCUGAAGGAGAUGAUAGUUCCUAGGUGCUCCGUUGUUCGUCUCUUGGUGUUGGAGGGUUUGGUUGAGGAAGAUUGGAACUUGAGCAGUGUGAUUUCUCCUGUUGAGAGCAAGUUCUUGGACAAAUAUGUGUCGAGAUACACUGAGAUAAUGCCCCAACUUUAUGAUGUUUAUCUGUCGUGUAAAGCGAGUGGCGUGCUUGCUUAACGCCUUCUUCAACUUGUGCAAUGUUGGUUAUAUUCUGUAGCUCAAUGUUUUGAUUGUUCAGUGCUUAGAAAUUUCUAUUAACACUAUAAUGUGAGAGUUAAUUAAGAGUUCAA